GAUGAAGAACGUAGCGAAAUGCGAUAAGUAAUGUGAAUUGCAGAAUCCAGUGAAUCAUCGAAUCUUUGAACGCACAUUGCGCCCCCUGGUAUUCCGGGGGGCAUGCCUGUUCGAGCGUCAUUUCACCACUCAAGCCUCGCUUGGUAUUGGGCAACGCGGUCCGCCGCGUGCCUCAAAUCGACCGGCUGGGUCUUCUGUCCCCUAAGCGUUGUGGAAACUAUUCGCUAAAGGGUGUUCGGGAGGCUACGCCGUAAAACAACCCCAUUUCUAAGGUUGACCUCGGAUCAGGUAGGGAUACCCGCUGAACUUAAGCAUAUCAAUAAGCGGAGGA
rnacentral:misc_RNA from 1 species